rnacentral:rRNA from 1 species
GCAAGUCGAGCGAUGAGACUCCUACGGGAGCACAUCAGCGGCAGACGGGUGAGUAACACGUAGAUGACGUACCCUCAAGACGGGGAUAACGGAGGGAAACAUGCGCUAAUACCGGAUGACCUUACGAUGUCAGAAUGGUAAGGAAAGCUACGGCGCUUGAGGAGCGGUCUGCGGCCCAUCAGCUAGUUGGUAGGGUAAAGGCCUACCAAGGCGAAGACGGGUAGGGGGUGUGAGGGCACGGUCCCCCACAAUGGGACUGAGACACGGCCCAUACUCCUACGGGAGGCAGCAGCAGGGAAUAUUGCACAAUGGACGGAAGUCUGAUGCAGCGACGCCGCGUGAGUGAAGAAGGCCUUCGGGUUGUAAAACUCUUUUGAGGGGGAAGAGCGAGGACGGUACCCCUGGAAUAGGCGUCGGCUAACUACGUGCCAGCAGCCGCGGUAAGACGUAGGACGCGAGCGUUAUCCAGAUUUACUGGGCGUAAAGCGUCUGUAGGCGGAUGUGUCAGUUGGGCGUGAAAGCUCCGGGCUUAACCCGGAGAGGCCGUUCGAUACUGCAUAACUUGAGGGUGUCAGAGGGGAGCGGAAUCCCGGUGUAGCGGUCGAGUGCGCAGAGAUCGGGAGGA